UGGUGCAAAUGCCUCUGUGUGCGGGUGA
rnacentral:piRNA from 1 species